AACACGUGGGUGAUCUGCCCUGCACUUUGGGAUAAGCCUGGGAAACUGGGUCUAAUACCGAAUAGGACCACGGGAUGCAUGUCCUGUGGUGGAAAGCUUUUGCGGUGUGGGAUGGGCCCGCGGCCUAUCAGCUUGUUGGUGGGGUGAUAGCCCACCAAGGCGACGACGGGUAGCCGGCCUGAGAGGGUGUCCGGCCACACUGGGACUGAGAUACGGCCCAGACUCCUACGGGAGGCAGCAGUGGGGAAUAUUGCACAAUGGGCGCAAGCCUGAUGCAGCGACGCCGCGUGGGGGAUGACGGCCUUCGGGUUGUAAACCUCUUUCACCAUCGACGAAGGUUCGGGUUUUCUCGGAUUGACGGUAGGUGGAGAAGAAGCACCGGCCAACUACGUGCCAGCAGCCGCGGUAAUACGUAGGGUGCGAGCGUUGUCCGGAAUUACUGGGCGUAAAGAGCUCGUAGGUGGUUUGUCGCGUUGUUCGUGAAAUCUCACGGCUUAACUGUGAGCGUGCGAGCGAUACGGGCAGACUGGAGUACUGCAGGGGAGACUGGAAUUCCUGGUGUAGCGGUGGAAUGCGCAGAUAUCAGGAGG
rnacentral:rRNA from 1 species